UUCCAUCGACAUACCACCUAGGUGUCAAAUUCCGAUCCCAAACGGAGUCACAGCUAUCUGGGGAUGUCAGAAACAGUCGCGACUAUGCUUCCUCGCGGAGCACAAGUUAAGGCAAAUGACGAGAAACAGUCGUGACUAUGCUUCUUCGCGGAGCACAAGUUAAGGCAAAUGACGACUUCUGUAAUGGCAAAUCGCAAGCGCACGAAGAUAGAUCAAUCUUCGGCCAAAAACGCUUCAAGAAAUUGAGGCAGCUCGUCGAAAGACGAGUUCAGCUAUCCCCCUCUCUAAAAAGGGGGGGGGGGGAGUGGGUGCGUAUACUCGUACACUCCCACAUAGGAAAAGACGCGUUAUUGUAAUCGAGUUUCUAGAGAUUUAAAAAAAAUAAAAAUAAAAAAAAAACUCUCUUUACAAUAUGCAUUGCUCCUUUUUAAUUAAAACGCUUACGCUUCAGUUAAACGCAAAAGUCUCAGGACACGCCUAGAAAAUCUACGAACGUUAAGACUCUUGUUAGCGGCCUCACCCUGCCCAAAAUCAGAAAAUAAUCUUUCUUCAGCACCGAAAAUAUUUUGUAUAGUCUUCGAAACAACCUAGAGAUGUGACCAAGUUAAAAUUCGAGACGAUGCGACCGCACAAACCUUAAAACCGAGAGUAAACCUAGGUCUUGCCCUAAACCCAUCGCAUUGGUCUCAGACGUCUC
rnacentral:lncRNA from 1 species